UCUGGUUGAUCCUGCCAGUAGUCAUAUGCUUGUCUCAAAGAUUAAGCCAUGCAUGUCUAAGUAUAAGCAAUUUAUACAGUGAAACUGCGAAUGGCUCAUUAAAUCAGUUAUCGUUUAUUUGAUAGUUCCUUUACUACAUGGUAUAACUGUGGUAAUUCUAGAGCUAAUACAUGCUUAAAAUCCCGACCUUUUGGAAGGGAUGUAUUUAUUAGAUAAAAAAUCAAUGUCUUCGGACUCUUUGAUGAUUCAUAAUAACUUUUCGAAUCGCAUGGCCUUGUGCCGGCGAUGGUUCAUUCAAAUUUCUGCCCUAUCAACUUUCGAUGGUAGGAUAGUGGCCUACCAUGGUUUCAACGGGUAACGGGGAAUAAGGGUUCGAUUCCGGAGAGGGAGCCUGAGAAACGGCUACCACAUCCAAGGAAGGCAGCAGGCGCGCAAAUUACCCAAUCCUAAUACAGGGAGGUAGUGACAAUAAAUAACGAUACGGGCCCUUUCGGGUCUUGUAAUUGGAAUGAGUACAAUGUAAAUACCUUAACGAGGAACAAUUGGAGGGCAAGUCUGGUGCCAGCAGCCGCGGUAAUUCCAGCUCCAAUAGCGUAUAUUAAAGUUGUUGCAGUUACAAAGCUCGUAGUUGAACUUUGGGCCUGGUUGGCCGGUCUGGCUUUUUGCCACGUACUGGAAUGCAACCGGGCCUUUCCUUCUGGCUAACCUUAGGCUCCUUGUGGGUCUUUGGCGAACCAGGACUUUUACUUUGAAAAAAUUAGAGUGUUCAAAGCAGGCGUAUUGCUCGAAUAUAUUAGCAUGGAAUAAUGGAAUAGGACGUUUGGUUUAUUUUGUUGGUUUCUAGGACCAUCGUAAUGAUUAAUAGGGACGGUCGGGGGCAUCAGUAUUCAAUUGUCAGAGGUGAAAUUCUUGGAUUUAUUGAAGACUAACUACUGCGAAAGCAUUUGCCAAGGACGUUUUCAUUAAUCAAGAACGAAAGUUAGGGGAUCGAAGAUGAUCAGAUACCGUCGUAGUCUUAACCAUAAACUAUGCCGACUAGGGAUCGGGUGGUGUUUUUUUAAUGACCCACUC
rnacentral:rRNA from 1 species